rnacentral:rRNA from 1 species
UAUGCCUGGGCGUAACACGGCACCACCCCGCCCGCCAAAUAACUACGAGUGAAAACUUAAAACUUAAAGGACUUGACGGUACUUCACACCCAACCUAGAGGAGCCUGUCUACUAACCGAUAAUCCACGAUUAACCCAACCACUUCUAGCCACCCAGCCUAUAUACCACCGUCGCCAGCCUACCUUGUAAAAGAAACAAAGUAAGCCAAACAGUACUACACUAACACGACAGGUCAAGGUGUAACUAAUGAAGCGGACUAAGAUGGGCUACAUUCUCUACCCCAGAUUAUACGAACAAGGCUAUGAAAUUAACCUUUAAAGGCGGAUUUAGCAGUAAGCUGAGAACAAAAUACUCAACUGAAACCAAUGCAAUGAAGUGCGUACACACCGCCCGUCACCCUCUGCAGUCACUUUA